rnacentral:rRNA from 1 species
GAUGAACGCUGGCGGCGUGCCUAAUACAUGCAAGUCGAGCGAACAGACGAGGAGCUUGCUCCUUCGACGUUAGCGGCUGACGGGUGAGUAACACGUAGGUAACCUACCUAUAAGACUGGGAUAACUUCGGGAAACCGGAGCUAAUACCGGAUAAUAUUUCGAACCGCAUGGUUCGAUAGUGAAAGAUGGCUUUGCUAUCACUUAUAGAUGGACCUGCGCCGUAUUAGCUAGUUGGUAAGGUAACGGCUUACCAAGGCAACGAUACGUAGCCGACCUGAGAGGGUGAUCGGCCACACUGGAACUGAGACACGGUCCAGACUCCUACGGGAGGCAGCAGUAGGGAAUCUUCCGCAAUGGGCGAAAGCCUGACGGAGCAACGCCGCGUGAGUGAUGAAGGUCUUCGGAUCGUAAAACUCUGUUAUUAGGGAAGAACAAACGUGUAAGUAACUGUGCACGUCUUGACGGUACCUAAUCAGAAAGCCACGGCUAACUACGUG